GACGGUGGAUGCAAGUGUUAUCCGGAAUCACUGGGCGUAAAGCGUCUGUAGGUGGUUUAAUAAGUCAACAGUUAAAUCUUGAGGCUCAACCUCAAAAUCGCAGUCGAAACUAUUAGACUAGAGUAUAGUAGGGGUAAAGGGAAUUUCCAGUGGAGCGGUGAAAUUCGUAGAUAUUCGGAAGAACACCAGUGGCGAAGGCGACUCACUGGCCCGUUACUGACGCUGAGGCGCGAAAGCGUGGGGAGCAAACAGG
rnacentral:rRNA from 1 species